GGGGUAGCUCAGUGAUGCUAUGCCUGCUUGGCCAGCGCAAGGUCCUGAGUUUGAAUCCCAGUACUGAAAAAAUAAAAUAAAAAUAUUUCCUUGCAUGUCUAUAGCACAUAUUGCUUAACCAUUCAUCUAUUGUUAGAUCCAUUUACCUUUUAGCAUAGAGUCCCUAAGGUGGAAAAUAUAAUUUCAUUGAGUUAAAAAAUAAAUCUCAUGGUCUGAUGUGCAUUGUGGAUAAGCCACUGAAGCUCUCCAAGUCUGAGGAAGCCAUGCCAGGACUAUGGACUUCCUGUGGAUGCUUGCCUGAAAUAGGGUGGGAAGCAAGUGACAAUCCCACUAGCUCACACCAAAUUACAUACUAGUGUGACAUAAACCAAGCAGCUUCUGCUGACUAGGAUUGAAUUGAGCAGCAUGGCAGCCCAGAGCUGUGGUACUGCCCAUGAGGAUCAUCUGUCCUGAGAAGUCCCUUGAGUGUCAGGGUGGAUGGAGCCAGAGUGAGGAUGAGGGGGUAGGUAGGACAGCCUUCUUCUCCACUUGUCACUUUCCCCUGCAGUGGGGGACCAUUUCACAUGCAGUGGUUAAUUACCCAUAAACAGCUUAACCAUAAACAGUUCCCACAUGUUAAGCCUGGAGGAAAAUUGUUGCUGGAAUUAGGAAUUUGCAUUUUACCUAGAAAGUAUAAGAACAAUUACUAAUCUGCAACAUCUAGGCAGCUUUUCAAAACCCAGCAGGAUGAUCAUGGGAGCCAAGUCUAAGGCCAUUAAUUUUUUUCUUUUCAACGACAUCUUACCUUGCUUAGGAAAAAAGGCAGAGUGUGUCCUGGGGCCCUUUCUCAUUUUUUGACUUUGGUGUUUACACACUAAUAGGUAGCCACCCCCUUUUAUGAAGAUAGGCUAGCUUCUGCUUCUUAGAUAAGGCAUGGCAUUCCUUUUCUCGGUCUGCCCUGUAGCAUCCAGCAUCUCUAUCUUUUGAUUGAGGGGAGAGGGUCCAGGUCCCAGGUUGAGUGGCUCAGGUCUAAGUUCAAACUACUGAAAUUUCAGUCUCUGCUACAUGCAUAGGGUUCAGAUCCAACAGCUGAAGAGUUAGGAAAUGACCUUGGGGUGCUGCUGAGCUACUGAUCUUCCAACUGAGUUCUGUGGGCAGCCACUCCACUCUUAGCACUUCAGUCUUAUGUUUUUGGGACUCCCAAGACAGGUGUCACCUACCAAAGGUUUCUUUACUUCCACCAUUGUUAGUCUGCUGUUUCUCAGAAUUGUGUGUUGCAACCCAUUAGUGGGUCAUGAAAUCAGUUUAAUGGGUUGUGACCAACAUAUUGUUUUUAGUGAAAUAACUUGGGUUGGAAAUUGUAGGAGGGAAGUUUGUGGCAGAAAGAAUGUUGUGGCAUGACUAUUUCUCAGUGUUAGGUUAGAUAAGGUGUGUGGUCAUCUAAUAUGUGCUCCCACAAUGAGUCCCAGAGAACAAGUGAGCUGCUGGAGGCUGAGUUGAGUCUAGAGCCAGCACUCCUGUGCCCCUCCUACAUCUUACUGCUUAAGUCCCCGUUGCCCUUCAAACAUAGGUUUAUCAGAGGAAGAAGUGACUUGGGUGGGGGUCCUGAAAGACUGCCCUCUACCCCUGUGCCAGGCCCAGACCUGAGACCUGACAUAGCACUAACUGCUCCUCAUUCUCUAAUGUUUUAGAGUCCAAAUUCUGGAACUGAAGGCUGGACAAGAGCUGAAAUAGUCUGAGUGUGUUGAACCCUGGCCUUUGUAGUCAGGCCUGGCUUCAGGUGUUGGCCGCUGCACUUCUUGGCUGGGUGAUCUUGGUCAAGUUAAUAAAUCUCUCAAAACCUGGGUUUCCUUAUCUUUAAGUAAAAUGACCUUACUUACUUCACAAGUGUUGUAAGGAAUGAGAUAAAGUCCUCAGCACAGUACCAAGCAUUUAAGCAUUUAACAAAAUACUUAUUAGUCAUCCAGAUAUGAGCAAGAAGUUGCCUCCCUAUGGGUGUAAGUAUUUGGAAAAAAUAUGUCUAUAUCAGAAAUUUCUAGCUUUGUUUUGUGAAAUCCCAAUGUGUGUGGCUACCUUGAAAGAGUAUCCUGAAACUAUUAAGCAAUGGAAUGGGUCAGUUUAAAAGUUAUAUAAAAGGGCUUAUGGUGUAAUUUAGUGGUAGAGCAUGCCCUAGUAUGCUCAAACACAUGCCAUGCUAAACUCUCUAGGGCCAUUGUAAAAGAAGGUUUGGAAUGCCAAUUUCUACAGCCAUACCUGUGCUAUAUACUGCAGGGCCCUGAACAUAAGCAGAGAAAUUCAAGGUGUUCACCUUUGUGUAUAAUUUACCACUUUGUGUCUAAUGGUGGGUUUGUAAAGUGGAAAGCAUAUAAAUCAGGACCACAUCAAGCCAUGGAGAAGACACAAGGGACGCAUGUGACAAUGUGGUCAUCUAUGCCAGGUGAAAUCGUGGGGUCCAUCUCUGUGUAAAAAGAACCACCUAUUUCACCAAGGACUUUCUAACAGAAUGAAUUAAUGGUAGGACAAGUGACUUGGAGGAGGUGUCAUGCCAAGGGUGUCUUCUUGUACACCAAGAAGAGGCUGGGCUGGGAGUUUAGCUCAGUGGUUUCAGCACCUGCCUCGCAAGCGCAAGGACCUGAGUUCGAUCCCCGGUACCAAAAAAAAUGAAGAGGCUUAGAAGCCCAUGGGUUUGACCUGGCUAACUAUAAACCCUGCAUAGCCAGGGGUCUAUACACCUGCCACCUGCCACCUCUGAUUCACCAGCUGAGCUCCCUCAAAGCCUCACUGCAUGAAAUCAGAGUUCAGUGUGUGUCACCCAUACUCCUACUGGGUUUGCUAUCAUUGUAUAAAACAAUCUGUUCUAGAGAUAGGAGGAGGAGAAGGUUUGCUUCUGGGAUCUCACAUGAGCUUUAUGUGAAAUGAGAACAAUAUCUCCCCUUUAUGAAGUCCUUCUCUCCCCUUAAUCUCUCUUCUCUGUGUCUCCUGUAUGGAGCAUCCAGCUCUGUGCUGGCCCACACUCACAAGAAAUUCACAGCUAGAAGUGACACAAUCUUGAAGCAGUUAAAGAGUAACUCAUAACCAGAUGUAAGUUUGUAGUGCAAGUCUGGGAGGAGUGGAGACUUCUUGGAUAAGGUGAGGCUGGAGCUGGGCCUUAAAGAAUGAGGAGGAUUGGGAUUGGUGGGGAGACAAUGGGAUGAUGCCACCAGCUGCAAAGCAGCACACUGUCCAGAAAUGGACUGAAAUGUAAAGAGGGAUUCUCUAACUCUCAAUUCCCUGUGCCCACUGCUCAGUCUCCUAGUUGCAGUAUGCUUGGACAUCAGAUGUGCUUUCUCCUCAUCCAGGCAGCCAUUUUUUUUUUGUACCAGGGAUAGAACUCAGGACUUUGUGCUUGCAAAGCAGGCAUGGUGCCACUGAGCUAAAUCCCCGGCCAGCCAGCCUCUUCUUGGCAGGUAAGAGAACUCACACUUGCCAAGUCUUUAGACCCAUGUGGAAAGUGGCCUCUCCUACUGUUGAUCCCACCCAGCUGCAGUCAGAGUUUCCAGCAGGAUCAAGAUGAGCACAACUUACUAGCCUCUUACAGGUUGCCAGAUGGAUGGAUGUUUUUCCUGCCAUCCUAACUGUUUUAGACUUCUUUCUAGAGGGUAAUUAUAAUUGCAUCUGUGCCUUCUGUUUAUGUAAUUACAGGUAUUAUGGAAAGUGUAAUGAAGGAAAGACAUGCUUCUGGUAUCACAGAAAAUGUUGUCUAAAGCCGUGAUUUAAAUGUGUGGGCUUAGAUCCAGGAUGCUCCUUUCAUGUCUCUCCUUACAUUUGUUGCCUUAGCACAUUUUGCCAAAGAGCCCAAGAGAGGAUUCCCUCCCUGAACUGCCAUUAGAUUUUGGACAGCAGCAUGGUGAUUUUAUGGUACUUUGGUUAGUAUCACAGUGACGUUGAAUCAUUCAUACUAUUUCAUCUAAAUUCUCUUCAUGUUUGUCUGCUGUAUCUAGGGAUAAAUCAAAUGAAAUUUUAUGGAUGUCACCUGCCUGCAAGGUAUCAGCUAUGAAAGGAAGUAUACAACAAGUGCAGUGUGUGCUAGCCUCAGUGUAUAGAGCUGAGCUCUAUUUGCAGAUCUAACUUUGGGAAACUUUCUCAGGAGCAGAGGGACCUGAGUGGAAUAUGGGCAGAUUAGGAGUCAUCUACAAAGCUCCCUAGUUGCCGAAAACUCAGUAAAGUGAUAUCACUUGUAUUAGCCUGUCAAGGAGCUGCAUAACUUUCCACAGCUGUGUCUUUAGGACAUUUCAAUGGGCUUCUUUGAUUAUCGGAAUUACAGUUUAUAUGUCUUUCCACAUUUCUGUUGUGUGAGUGACCAAAGGAAGGAAAGUGGUAAAGGAAAUUCCAUACAUUGCCCUGGAUUGCAGAGGCUGGUGAUGAAUCUUCCACAGGGCCAUUCUUCAAGACCUCAAGCAUUUCAGGCACAGUCCUGCAUCAGCUCUACUGAUGUCUUGAGAGGAAAAUUCUUACCUCUUCCAAAUUUGAGAUUCAGUCAAUAUCCCUACAGUCCACCAAGCCAGAGGGGACAACUGUCGCAUUGCCAGCCAGCAAUAGCUAUCUGGGGCUGCUCCUGCUCCUCAAGCUUUAAGAGGAAAACAGAGAUGUAUAUGUUGUUUGGAUGGCCAAUAUGAAGAUUAUCAACAACUCUAUAUCCAGAGAGGGACCAUUAGACCUAGUUGGUAGGCCUCACAUUUGGUGUCUUCAAGAGUUCUACCCAACCUCUGGAACAGGUUAUGUUUUAAGAACAUGUUUGCGAGAAAAGAAGUGGAACAGGCUUGCACAGAAAGAAGAAGCAAUUUAGAUAUUUGGAAGUUUUGCACCUUUCCAAACAGUCUGCAUGAUGGACUCAUUGGCUUCUAAAUCCCUGUGAGGUGUUUUUGUGAGGUGGAGACUCUUGCCUCUUUUAUAGGUAGGAGGGAGGUAAGGCAUCCAGGCUGGGAAUGACCAGGGUGGGUCAGAACCAGGUUUCGGUACUUCUGUCCUCCAAGCUUGUUCCAAACUGGCUUUGAUAUCUUAGCAGUCACAUCUUCCUGGUCUCAUAAUUUCCUUGAGUUAUGGAUCUGUCAGCAGUAAGAUUUUCAUAUUAGAAGCAUUUAAGGUGUUUAGCCUAGCUAAAUGCUGCUUUAAUUAUUUCCCCCAGCAAAAUUGCAAACUCAUAAGAAGAAAUAAGACAAAUGAGUACACAAAUAACUGUGAUGUAGAAUGUGCCCUCAGAGAUUGCAUUACUUGUGUUAGCCUAGUCAGGUGUUGACAGGUGGGCAGGGACAACACGGAGACUUAGACUUUAUGACGCUCUUUUUUUGUAUCCAGUAUUUCAUUUGAUUCUUGCUCAGAUCCUUCUUUCCCUAUGUAGAAGUAUCAGAAAGAAUGGUCUAUAUUUAAAACUGGAGGGGGAUGGGAUAGAAAGCACCUACUAAAAACAAACGCACACAUGAUUUUCAGCUUGUCAACUGUAGGUCCCUCAGGCCUCUGGUAUUAAGUCAUUCAAGGACUGGUUAAGGCUGGGGGUUUUUCUUGAUAUUUUUGUACAUGAUUGAAAUAAUUGAGGCAGCAUUUAGCUGAGCAAAGAACUUAAAUAUUCCCAUUUUCAAAGCAGCCUCUUCAGGAUGGCCAGUGACUCAGAGGUUUGACUCUCAAUCCAUUCACAGCUAGUGGGCAAAAAAGUUUCUUUUCAGCGAGUAGAGGCCAUAAGAGCAAGAGGAGCUCUUUGUUGGCCUUAAAACAGAGGGCUUGGGCACUGUGAGGACCUUCUUUCCUCUCCCUGAAGGGAGGCCUGUGGACAGUGAGCAGGCCUUGGAAGAGUGUAUUAUGUGCUCUCAUUCCCUAGUUCCACUGCAUCUGUAACAGACUGAACCAGUUAAAAAGCAAAGCGGUGUAGAGACUUGAGUACACUGGUGGUUGCCAACAUUUGAAAGGAGAGAAUGGGAUAGGAUGGCUCAGGGUGUAGAAUUUCCUUUUGGGGUUGUGAAAAUGUUCUGGAAUUCAAUACGGGGGAUGGUUGUGUAACUUUGCAAAUGAACUUAAAAUUAUUGAAUUGUGUACUUUUAAAGGGUAAAUUUUAUCUUAAUGUAAGUGCUCUUCCAGAAAAGCUUUUGUUUUAAAGUAAGGAGCAAAAUCGUUACUCUUACAUAGAGGAAAAAAGAUGGAAAAAUGUCAUUCUGAUAUUUAUUCUUACACUUCCCCCUUUCCAGAAACCCAUUACUAUAUUGGAAAUAUUCCGUCAAGCCAAGAAAAAUAUUUACAGAGGAAGAAGGGUACAUAGAGGAAGAAGGGGACAUAGAGGGAGACAAGGCGCUCAGUCUUCUUUCCUCCUCAUCCCAGGAAGGUGAACCUCAGCUGUCCAAAGGUUCUGGAGUCAAAGCAGAGGAGCUUUCCCCGAGCUCAGUGCACUCCAUUGCCCCAAUGGGCCCCUGACUUGCUUUUCUAGAUGAAGUUUCCAAAGGACACUCUUUAGAGGCAAAGAGCUACGGGGAAGGGAUACAGACCACUCAUUUUCUACUUAACACCUUAGCAUGUCAAUCUGAGUAGCUGGCCAGUCCCUCAGCAUGGGCACCCGUUGGUGGCAGUUGCAGCCAGUGCCUGUUGACUUCUAAACAAGGUGCACCCAGCAGGAGACCUUGGAGAACAGAGCAUGCUGGCCCCACCCAAUGCUCUGCAGUUUGAGCCAGCAUGGCUCUGCACUGUCACCACACAGGACUCAGGAAAGUUGGGCACGGGCUGCAUCAACCUUCACAGAAGUUUAGACCAAAAUUCCCUCCUUCCCUUUCAGGAGGGGCUCUGCUGACUCACAGUGCAGUUAUUCACAGAGGGUAUGGGCAUCUCUGAAAACUGAGAUGAGAACUGAGGAGUACCUGGGAAGUAUGAACAGAGGCUGCCUUAGUGAGGAAGGGCAGCCCU